UACGUAGGGUGCGAGCGUUAAUCGGAAUUACUGGGCGUAAAGCGUGCGCAGGCGGCUUGCCAAGUCAGAUGUGAAAGCCCCGGGCUUAACCUGGGAACGGCGUCUGAAACUGGCAGGCUAGAGUUUGGCAGAGGGAGGUGGAAUUCCACGUGUAGCAGUGAAAUGCGUAGAGAUGUGGAGGAACACCGGUGGCGAAGGCAGCCCCCUGGACCAAAACUGACGCUCAGGCACGAAAGCGUGGGGAGCAAACAGG
rnacentral:rRNA from 1 species